rnacentral:miRNA from 11 species
GUGGGUUCCCUGGUGCCAGAGA